rnacentral:rRNA from 1 species
AUUGAACGCUGGCGGCAGGCCUAACACAUGCAAGUCGAGCGGUAGAGAGAAGCUUGCUUCUCUUGAGAGCGGCGGACGGGUGAGUAAUGCCUAGGAAUCUGCCUGGUAGUGGGGGAUAACGUCCGGAAACGGACGCUAAUACCGCAUACGUCCUACGGGAGAAAGCAGGGGACCUUCGGGCCUUGGGCUAUCAGAUGAGCCUAGGUCGGAUUAGCUAGUUGGUGAGGUAAUGGCUCACCAAGGCGACGAUCCGUAACUGGUCUGAGAGGAUGAUCAGUCACACUGGAACUGAGACACGGUCCAGACUCCUACGGGAGGCAGCAGUGGGGAAUAUUGGACAAUGGGCGAAAGCCUGAUCCAGCCAUGCCGCGUGUGUGAAGAAGGUCUUCGGAUUGUAAAGCACUUUAAGUUGGGAGGAAGGGCAGUAAGCUAAUACCUUGCUGUUUUGACGUUACCGACAGAAUAAGCACCGGCUAACUCUGUGCCAGCCGCCGCAGUAACAC